GUAGCCUAGUGGUUAGAGUGUAGAGGUGGUAGGUAGCCUAGUGGUUAGAGUGUAGAGGUGGUAGGUAGCCUAGUGGUUAGAGGGUAGAGGUAGCCUAGUGGUUAGAGUGUAGAGGUGGUAGGUAGCCUAGAGUGGUUAGAGUGUAGAGGUGGCAGGUAGCCUAGUGGUUAGAGUAUAGAGGUGGUAGGUAGCCUAGUGGUUAGAGUGUAGAUGUGGCAGGUAGCCUAGUGGUUAGAGUGUAGAGGUGGCAGGUAGCCUAGUGGUUAGAGUGUAGAGGAGGCAGGUAGCCUAGUGGUUAGAGGGUAGAGGAGGCAGGUAGCCUAGUGGUUAGAGUGUAGAGGAGGCAGGUAGCCUAGUGGUUAGAGUGUAGAGGAGGUAGGUAGCCUAGUGGUUAGAGUGUAGAGGUGGCAGGUAGCCUAGUGGUUAGAGUGUAGAGGAGGCAGGUAGCCUAGUGGUUAGAGUGUAGAGGUGGCAGGUAGCCUAGUGGUUAGAGUGUAGAGGAGGCAGGUAGCCUAGUGGUUAGAGUGUAGAGGCGGCAGGUAGCCUAGUGGUUAGAGUGUAGAGGUGGCAGGUAGCCUAGUGGUUAGAGUGCAGAGGAGGCAGGUAGC
ensembl:lncRNA